GGAGAGGUGCAGGAGUGGUUGAACUGGCACGCCUGGAAAGCGUGUGUGCGCCAAAAGUGUACCGAGGGUUCGAAUCCCUCUCUCUCCGCGA
rnacentral:tRNA from 1 species